UACCAGCACCCCGAGUGGUCGGGACGAUUAUUGGGCCUAAAGCAUCCGUAGCCGGUUCUACAAGUCUUCCGUUAAAUCCACCUGCUCAACAGAUGGGCUGCGGAGGAUACUAUAGAGCUAGGAGGCGGGAGAGGCAAGCGGUACUUAGUGGGUAGGGGUAAAAUCCGUUGAUCCAUUGAAGACCACCAGUGGCGAAGGCGGCUUGCCAGAAGUAGCGCUCGACGGUGAGGGAUGAAAGCUGGGGGAGCAAACCGG
rnacentral:rRNA from 1 species